GGCCAAAGAUCUUUGGUUUGAAAACCACUUUGUUGGUUGAAGGUAAAACUUUUGAUUUUCAGAAGAGGAUUGGUAACACCUUUUGAAAGAUAACUUGUUUUUAAAUCAUUUCAUAGGUAGAUUUUGGAAUAAACUGGAGUUGAGAAAGGAGUUAGAAUUGCUUUCUUUGUCAAAAGGAAGAACAUCGAGAGAGUUUUGAAAUACUUUUUCCUUCGCAAUAGAGAUGCUUUUGCUAAAGAGGGGACUUUUUCAAUCGAAAGGAGGGGUAAUUUUGAAGACAGGUUUAUUUGUAAGCCAUAAACAGUUUUGAAAUAGAUGGGCAAUACAGGAUGCA
rnacentral:lncRNA from 1 species